rnacentral:rRNA from 1 species
UACGGGGGGGGUAAGCGUUGUUCGGAAUUACUGGGCGUAAAGGGCUCGUAGGCGGCCAACUAAGUCGGACGUGAAAUCCCUCAGCUUAACUGGGGAACUGCGUCCGAUACUGGAUGGCUUGGAUUUGGGAGAGGGAUGCGGAAUUCCAGGUGUAGCGGUGAAAUGCGUAGAUAUCUGGAGGAACACCGAUGGCGAAGGCAGUGUUCUGGGCCAGUACUGACGCUGAGGAGCGAAAGCGUGGGGAGCAAACAGG